rnacentral:lncRNA from 1 species
GCUUUCAUCACAACGUACGAGGGAAAGCACAACCACGACAUGCCACUGAGGAACGCGAACACAGGAGCAUCCGAAAAGGAUACAAUCAAAGAAAAGCCAUAAAUGAGUGAUAACAUCGAACUCAAACUUCGGCAUCAAACUGUUUCAACCUCAUGUUUUGUCUGACAGAAAUGUCAGACGGGCUCGGAGAAAAAAUCAGACACCGAAAAUAAUUUGCUGCAGUGAUUCUGAUUCCCACCUUGGAUGGUCUGCUCUGCAAUGCUAAUAAUUUCACUUGGGAAUCUCUUUGAUGGCUGCUUGAUGGAUUUGGAGACAUAAAAUGGUGAAAAUAUUUUUGCUAAUUUUCCCUCCUGUUGCUGCUUCCUUCAAUUAGCACAUCAGAGUAUUACAUUUUUUUUCUUUUCUAUUAAUUGUAAUCCACUGGGAAAUUUCACAUAACAAAACUUUGUUAGAAAUGUUAAUGGCAGUGAUUAGGUUGAUGACUUGAUAAUACUCCUCCCAAUAAGCACAAGGAUGAUAGAGAAUAAAGUUUUAAGGAUCAUUCAAUUCCCAGUGGGUAAUACUUGUGUGUUAUAUUUGUUAUUAGAUUAUGUUGUAAACUAUAGCUUUGAAAUUUUGGAUACUUUUAAGCGAUAUUGGGGACGGGGGAUUGAACUCGAACCUUGGUGUCCGAGUGAAUGUUUCUAAUUACUUGAGCUGCAAAUCCUUUGCGAAUCCAAAUCCCUUCUCUCUUCUGAUCCACUAUCUUCUCUCUCUUACCUCUGUCAGCUCACCAAGGAGUUGAUGGUUGCCCUUUUUUCCUUUUUAAUUGUGAAUGCCUAAAAUAAUUUUGAAUUUAUACUAGACAAGUUUUGAAGUGUUAUUAAAAAAAUUUCUCAAGAAUGUUCUUAAGAAAUAUUUUUUAAAAAAAAAAGUUGAAUUUUUCUUUGUAGGAUACCUAGCGGGCCUUAAGUUUCAUAUUAUCCAAAGCUAUUAAUGUGAACUUGGAUAAUCUUGUAGAAUUGUAUCUUGUAAAAUCGUAGAUCAUGUGUCAAAUAUAAAUUAGGCCAAUAGUACUCAAGGACUUCAUUUUCUAUCAGUAGUAAGGUAACGAUUUUCGCCCUCUCAUUUCAUCAAUUUGCACUCCAUUUUAUUUUGUGCUUCGAUAAUUGAGCAAAUAAAGGAGCAUCAAAGCAUAAAAAUAAGGAGAGUAGGUGCAAAUGGACAGAUUUAGAACGUCAAGAACGUCAACAAUCUACACUUUGCCGAAUACACAUAAGUGACUCAUUUAAAAGCAUAAAAGCAAAGAGACUCCUCAAACUCAUUUCCAUAAUCAAAAUACUUAAAAAAACACCAUUUUGAUGAAGAAAGAACUCAGAAUCCAACUGUUAUUGCACUAAUGACCUUUCCUGUGCAAUUCAAUUUUGAAGUGUUUCUAAUUUAUAUUUGUGGAGAUAUAAAUUAACCAAAUCCAAUAGAAGAAUGACACGUGGAUAAUAUGCUCAAUAUGACAAAUUUUUCCUUAACGUUAUGAGUAGACCAUAAAAUUACUCUAAAGAAAUAAGACGUAAUCUACUCUACCACUAACGAAGAUAACCCCUUCAACAUCUCAAAAAUGUGUUCUACGUUGUUGAAAGCUAGAUCCAUAGAACAACUUUCCUUGUCCGAGACAUCUUAUGUGAAUGAGUUACAUGAGCAUGUCGCCCAUGACAUACAUUAUGGGCUCUUUGGACAAUACGUACGGUUAGUGGGCAAUACACAUUUAGUAAUGGUGUGUCAGGGACCAAUCUUUUUAAUGUCAGUGCGCAAUUUGUGCUUACCGACAGGGACUUUGCUUUGGAAUUAUCCUAGCAGGACAGUGGGCCUACAACAUUUAGAAAUGCUUUCCUUUGCAGGCCUUUGAGUUUUAAGCAGGAAUCCUUAGAACUGGGCCUUCAGUUCCUUAGUAAAUCAUGUAAUCCUUUUUUAGGUCUUUCUUAAAUUGACGUCAAGAACGGUAACUGCCACUUAACUCACUAUAUCCCUCAAGUUUUAUUUUCUCUCUAUAUUUCUUCUGACUUGAGACUAUAGCACAUUUGGCUCUUUGGUAGACACCUCUCCCUUUUUUUCAAAGUGUUCAUCAAUUAAGCUAACUAUAUUUGUUCUCUUGUAAAAUUUUUGUCAAAAUUAGUCAGAACAUGGUUAAAAAUUUAUAUAACAAUAUUAUAAUUGUUAUAAAUGGUUAACAAAAGUUUUUUUUUAACACGUACCAAACUCUAAUAUGUGUACAAAUAGUUAAAUUGAUUUUUCAACUGAACCGCAGGAAAUGUGACACUUCAAGUCUUCAAGCUUGCUGAUAGAUCUAAAAUAAGCUUUAGAUAUUUGGCCCAUCGCCCAUCUUGGAUAUUGUAAUGUAGAAUUCAAACCGACAUUUGACCACCUCAUUACUUUUCAUGUGUCAUCUUUUCCACUUCUUAAUUUUAAUCACUCUUUGGAAGUUUUCUGUUGUCCUAACCGUAACUCACGCAUCCUCUGCCUUUGCUGGUAUGUUAUGGGUUCAUAUUAAAUUGUCAAUUCAUUCUUCUUCUAAAAUUCUUUCAUGUUUUGGAGUAUGGAAUAUCCGAGGUGUUGUAAUUUUUAAAUUUUAAUUUUUGUAUUUCCAAAUAAACAUCUAACAGCGAAAACAUUAGGAGUAUCCCAUACUCCAGAGUACUGUGAAAAAUCUCAAUUUUGUUUGAUAAUUCCAUCACUUCAUGAAGAGUCAUUUUUUCAUUCCUGUAAAUCAUUGUCUGCCAUAUAGAGAGAGUUCGUAAAGAAACCGCAAAUAGAAAUUUUUUUUGCCCGCAUAUUAAACUGUUAACAUGAAUGCAGAAACGCCUACUUCCAUGACAACAAGUUAGGUAUUAUCCUUUUUUACAUUGCAGGCUUGACUUAUUAACAUGAUUCUGCAGUGAACAUGGGAUCAGAGGUAUUCUUUGUACUCUUCAAAAAGUUAUGAGAAGCGACUGCGAAGCCAUAAUUUGUCGGAGGAGUCCGGACGGUGACCGACCAAGGUCAAAGGUUUAUGAAUUUGUGGCAUAAAUAACUUCGUUGAGAAGACCAAUAUUUGCAUUAGCACUACACACCACACGAUGCCAUAUGGAACUUCUUGCGUGACUUGGUCCAUAAAGUCAAUAGUCUCCAAGAACAAAGAGAUAUAAUCUAAUUUAUAAAGACUAUAUAUUCUAAUAAGAUGAGUGGUUAACUUAUUUCUUUCUCGCAUGGUUUUGUAGUUAUAGAGAUUAGGGCUGGGCACGGGCCGGGGCGAGCCGGGCCGAACCUAAGUUUGUAGGAACCGGAGCUUAAACGAAACGGGCCGGGACGGGGCGGGGAUUGGAUUUUCUUGUAUAGGAACCGGACAUUACCCGGCCCGGUUAAAACGGGCCGAUUCGGACGGGUCCACGGGUACCCAUUUUUUCUUUUAGCCAUAGAAGGGACGACCUCGUUGAGGUCGUCUUCCCCACCACAUACGAGAACAAGCAGCACAGCUGCACAACAAGCAAUAAAUGAAAGCCCAGAUGCAAAAACAACAAAUCAAACCCCUUUAAUCAUGCACACAGACAAAACCAACCACCAAACAAUGAUCAAAACAUCAAAAUUGAAAAGAAACAACAAUCAACAUAUAAACAGGAAAAAAAAAAAAACAGAACAUAACCCAGAACUCGCAAGGAUGAUACUGUCCUCGAUAGUGGUGGUUGUCGCGCCGGCGAUAGUGGUGGUGGGUGGUGGUUGUCGCGUCAUCUUCGUCGAUCUGGAGCCCACCAUCAUCGACGAGCUCGCUAUCGUCGUCGUGCCAUCAUCGUCCAUCUUCUAUCUCUACUAUCCCUCAGGUCCCUCGGAGCAUCUCCGAUCUGGAUUCUGGAGCCUCAUGUCAUCGUCGACGCCAUCUUCGACGACCGGAGUCGGGAGACAGAGACAUCAAGUUGGGAUUAGGAGAGAGAAAUGGAUCAAUUACCGUCUGAUUGAGAGGACUCGAGAGGACUCUGACAGAACGAAUCAGACAAAUUGAGAGAUAAAUGGAUCAAUUGCCGUCGGAUUCAAGCAUCGCCGACACCGCCUCAGUGUAAACCCUAGUUCUCAGGCCCACCUCGCGGUACCCUAGCUCAUCGACGGCGAAGCCUCAGUGUAAACCCUAGAUCGAGGUCUGAUGAUGAUGGUGGCGGCGAUAAAGGAGAUUCAAGGAGAUUUUGCAUGUUGGAAGGUUGAAGGAGAUUCAAGGAGGAGAGAUCGAGGGAGGAGAGAUCGAGAGAAUGGAAAGUUGAGGAAGUGAGUCUGAGAAUGAGAGUCUUGGGAGUCUCGGACAAGAAUAAGAGAGAGAGAGAGAGAGAGAGAGAGAGAGAGAGAAGGUGAAAUCAAUGGUAGGAAAUCAACGUAGGAAAUCAAGGUAGGAAUCAACGGUCCGGGCCGGGGGCCCGUAUUUUCCCAUUUCUGUACCCGCCCCGCCCCGCCCCCUUUUGAAUUUACAAUAUCUGUACCCGCCCCGUACCCGCCCCGUACCCGCAUUACCCGCCCCUACCCGCGGGUCCAGGACCCGUUUGCCCAGCCCUAAUAGAGAUCAUAGAAGUAUUUGAUUCAUGGUAUAUGUGUUCUGUUUUUUGAGUUUCGUAAUUGUCUAAUAUGAUAUCAAAGUUUUGAUCUUGUGGUUAUAGCUCAUCUUGAUAUUUGAUUCAUGAUUUGUGAAGUUUUUUGAGAUUAGUGGUUGUUUAGCAUGACAUCAAAGGUCCUAUUUUCAGAGAUCUUUGAUUUUUCAUAUACAUACACGAGAGAAAGGAUUUUAGCUUUAUAUACGUUGUUGACUUAUCAUUCCAAUUUAAAUUUUGGAGUUCGGCUAUCUAACUAUAUAUAAGCAUAAAGGUAUUCUUUACUAGCUACUUAGUAUUACGGUCUAGUUGUAUUCUUGUUUACUUGUAAUUGAGAGGUUUUAAAUUUGAUUUUCGCUAAAAGUUAAUUUGAACCACAUUAUUAUGAUUUCCUGACUCUAGUACUUAUCCUACGUCAUAGUAUGAUUUUUUUUUUUUUUUUUUUUUUUUUUAUUUUUUAUAUGUGUUAUUGUACAUUAGAGUCCUCGCUAUUCCUCCGCUCGAUCUGCAACUACGCCUCCUCCGCGCCGUCCGUGAUACCGCCGCCUCCUCGCCGUCCGCGAUAACGCCACCUCAUCCGUCUGUGACAACGCCUCAUCAUCCUCUAUUCUGUUGCGUCUUCUGGUUUCUCAGGGCAAGCAAAUAAAGGUAUUUGCUUAAAUAGUGUGAUUCUGCUUGCCAGGGUUUCUAGUUAGGGCUAAUGGAAAUUUACGAUUUAGGCAGUGAUUAAGUAGUGUAAUUUUAAUUGGGUUGAUGGGUUUUCUGUAUUUCAUUUGGGAUCUGAGAACCGGUCCUGCUGGUGUCUAAAGUAAUGGUAUUGAUUUGUUGGGUUUUAAAGGCUAGGUCUUUUCUACUGAUUUAGAACUGCAAGAGGUUUCUGGGGUUUGAUUAUCCAAACCGAUUUUUCAAAUCUGUUUAUUUUGAUUCUUCUUCCAGCCCAGAAUUCGUGGCCGGCAAUCCAUAUUACGAUUGGAAUUAAUUUUUUCCUAGUUAUUAGAAUUAGCUCUUGAUGAUUUAAUAUGUAUGCCUUUCGUCUAUUCCAUCGAACUGAAACUUUGCAUAUGAUGUUGUUUGGUUGGCUUUGUAUUGUUAUAGGCUGUUCAGCUAUUGCACUUUUGGUAUUAGUAGGAUGAAACUGAUUUUGGGUUGUAAAGGGAAAGGGAAAUUGCUGAACUACAAUGCUUUGGAAAACACCGAACUGGAUUUGCCAUUUUCGCUAUCGAGUGCGGUCAGUAAACGAGAAUGUUAAAGGCAAAAAAAAUAAAAAUAAAAAAAAACGAGACGAACCUGAAUCGAACUGAAAAAAUAAAACUGAAUUGCAAUAAACCUGAAAAAUCGAAUCUAAUCAAACGGUAAAUUUGAUUCGAUUUUCGGUUUUGGCAAAAAACCGAACCGAUUGAAACCAAACUCAUCCCAACUUGAUUUCCCCUUCUGUCAAGGAACGUCAUGAGUGAGUCAAUCAAUAUUGCUGGUCAGUAAGUCGUCUUUCUUUUCCCUAUAGUUUUUAUUUUUAUUUUUUUCGCUUUCUUAUAAGGACUAUUAUUUAUUUUUCAUAAUUUGAUGUCGCUCUAAGUUCACGAUUGGGUUGUGACCGAUAAUGGAUUGUAUGAAUUUCACUUGUGUGAUUAACUGUAAUAGCAUAACUCCGCCUAUGUCUUACAUGGCCGGUCCCAAGCCCAGAUAAAGGAGGAGGGGGAGGGCGUCAGGUAGUCGACAGCCGGCACUCCAUGAUCACGUCGAAUCCUUAUGAAAAUGAAUCCAGAACAAAACCGCGCUAAAGUUAGGGCGUUACCCGUAAGUGGCGCGCUGUGUGGCCCGAGCACAGUGAUAAGUGAGCAAGGGUCGCUGUAUCUCCAUCGGCACCCGGAUGCAGUGUUAAAUGAGCAAGGGGGCCAUAUAAACUUCUUUUCGAACGACUCCACUCAAAGUUAUUUGGGAGCAUAUGCUCCUAUCAACUUUACCCGGGACACACAAAAGAAGUACUUUGAUCCUAUUAGACGGGGGAGGGUGAAGAAGCUAGGACAGAAGGGUAGAGUUCAAGAGAGCAAAAUGCGUUUAGGAACGUGGAAUAUAGGAACCUUAACGGGAAAAUCUAUGGAAGUAGUGGAAGUUAUGGUGAGGAGAAGGAUAAAUAUUAUGUGCCUACAAGAAACUAAGUGGGUUGGUAGUAAGGCAAAGGAUCUAGAAAACUCAGGGUUUAAACUUUGGUAUUCGGGCACAAAUAGAACGAGAAACGGUGUUGGCAUCAUCGUGGACAAGACCUUGGUACAAGAUGUUGUAGAUGUCAAGAGGGUAGGAGAUAGAAUCAUGGCAAUCAAGAUUGUAAUAGGACAAGAACUUAUCAAUGUGAUUAGUGCGUACGCACCUCAAGUAGGGUUGGAUACGAGUUCGAAGGAGAAAUUUUGGGAAGAUCUUGGAGACUUGGUGCAAGGAAUUGCUCAGACGGAGAAGUUAUUUAUAGGAGGAGAUUUAAAUGGACACGUGGGCAGGGAGACAGGCAACUAUGGAGGUUUUCAUGGUGGCCAUGGUUUUGGGGAGAGAAACGAGGAUGGGGAAGCUAUCUUGGAUUUUGCAAUGGCAUAUGAUCUCUUCUUAGCCAACACCUUCUUUAAGAAGAGAGAAGAACAUGUGAUCACCUACAAGAGUGGGUCGUCAAAAACACAAAUAGAUUUUCUUCUAAUGAGGAAAGGGGAUCGUAUAACUUGUAAGGAUUGCAAAGUUAUACCAGGAGAGAGCGUGGCUAAUCAACAUCGCUUGUUGGUGAUGGAUGUACAUAUCAAAAGAGUAAGACAAAAGAACAAGACUUGGAAGUGCCCAAGGACUAGAUGGUGGAAUCUAAAAGAAGAAAAACAAGCCAUUUUCAAAGAGAAGGUAAUCACCCAAUGUGUGUGUGGGAUAGAGAGGGGGAAGCUAGCCAAAUGUGGGAUUCCAUGGCUAGUUGUAUCCGAAAAGUAGCAAAAGAGGUAUUAGGAGAGUCCAAGGGCUUUGCCCCACACCAAAAGGAAUCUUGGUGGUGGAAUGAGGAGGUACAAACAAAGGUGAAGGCUAAGAAGGAAUGUUGUAAAGCCUUAUACAAGGAGAGGACCGAUGAAAAUGGUGAAAGGUAUAGAAAAGCGAAGCAAGAGGCGAAGAAAGCUGUCAGAGAAGCUAAGUUAGCGGCUUACGACGAUAUGUAUAAACGACUAGAUACCAAAGAAGGAGAGUUGGAUAUCUAUAAACUAUCUAGAGCAAGGGAAAAGAAGACAAGGGACCUAAACCAAGUGAGGUGCAUCAAGGAUGAGGAUGGAAAGGUUCUUGCUACAGAGAACGCGGUUAAAGACAGAUGGAGAGGUUAUUUUCAUAAUCUUUUCAAUGAAGGACAUGAAAUGAGUGCUUCUUUAGGGGAGUUGAGUAACUCAGAAGAGUGUAGAAACUACUCUUUUUAUCGUCGAAUCCGGAAGGAAGAAGUGGUUGUAGCUUUGAAGAAGAUGAAGCAUAAAAAAGCAAUAGGCCCAGACGAUAUACCAAUCGAAGUGUGGAAACUUUUGGGAGAGACAGGUAUAACAUGGCUCACUGACCUUUUCAAUAGGAUUUUGAAAACGAAGAAGAUGCCAAAUGAGUGGCGAACGAGCACUUUGGUGCCUAUCUACAAGAAUAAGGGCGACGUACAAAAUUGCAUGAACUAUAGGGGUAUUAAGCUAAUGAGUCAUACAAUGAAGCUCUGGGAGAGAGUCAUUGAGCAUAGAUUGAGGCAAGAGACACGGGUUUCGGACAACCAAUUCGGGUUCAUGCCAGGGCGCUCAACCAUGGAGGCAAUCUAUCUCUUACGAAGAUUGAUGGAAAGAUAUAGAGAUGGGAAAAAGGAUUUACACAUGGUCUUUAUAGAUUUGGAAAAAGCGUAUGAUAGGGUCCCAAGAGACAUUCUUUGGAGGAUUUUAGAGAAGAAAGGAGUACGAGUAGCAUAUAUCCAAGCUAUAAAGGAUAUGUAUGAAGGAGCAAAGACUGCCGUAAGAACUCAUGAAGGACAAACCGAAAGCUUUCCCAUAACUGUAGGAUUACAUCAAGGCUCAUCCUUAAGUCCUUACCUUUUUGCGUUGGUAAUGGAUGAGUUAACAGGACAUAUUCAAGAUGAUAUUCCUUGGUGUAUGCUUUUCGCAGACGAUAUAGUGUUGAUAGAUGAAACUCAGGAAGGGGUAAAUGCAAAGCUUAACCUUUGGAGAGAAGUGUUGGAAUCUAAAGGUCUUCGCCUAAGCCGAUCAAAGACAGAAUAUAUGGAGUGCAAGUUCAGUGCAAAUGGAGGCCAAAACGAGUUAGGGGUGAGGAUCGGAGAUCAAGAAAUACCAAAGAGCGACCGUUUUCGUUACCUAGGAUCUAUCUUGCAAAAGAACGGAGAAUUAGAUGGAGAUCUCAACCAUAGAAUACAAGCUGGAUGGAUGAAGUGGAAGAGUGCAUCCGGCGUGUUUGUGUGACCGCCGUAUGCCACUGAAGCUCAAGGGAAAAUUUUAUAGGACGGCAAUAAGGCCGGCGAUGCUGUAUGGCACAGAAUGUUGGGCGGUGAAACAUCAACACGUACACAAAAUGGGUGUAGCGGAGAUGAGGAUGCUUCGUUGGAUGUGUGGGCACACGAGAAAGGAUAAGAUUAGGAAUGAGGAUAUCCGGGGUAAAGUAGGAGUAGCCGAAAUUGAAGGAAAGAUGAGAGAAAAUCGGUUACGGUGGUUUGGACAUGUGCAAAGAAGGCCUACUGACGCUCCGAUUAGAAGAUGCGACUAUGGACAGAGGUUCAGGGCCGAAGGGGUAGAGGAAGACCUAGGAAAACUUUGGAAGAGAGACUCUAAGAAAAGACUUAGAGUACUUGGAUCUAACGAAGGACAUGACACAGGAUCGAGCACAAUGGCGUUCUAAGAUUCAUAUAGCCGAUCCCACUCAGUGACUUGGAUUUUCCAAGUCUCCAACCGAGAAGUUUUCCUCACUCGGGAAAUUAAGGGAACACUACCCCAACCUACAUGCUCUACUCAGAAAGCUUCAACAUACAAGCUUCAACAAAAAAAAAUUCAAAGAACUUAGCGAAGAAGGCUUUGGUGUAUUUAACACAAUACGUUGAAAUGAAGGAAAGCUUAUUUAUUGAUAUCCCCGAUAAGCUACAAAUAUGUACAUAUACAUGAGUCAAAAUAAACAACACAAGAGGGAGCCUUCACAAAGGUUGCUUAGGAGAAGUCUCAGCAGUCGGUAGAGCCCCAGAAAGAGAAGGCACCGGAGGGGGAUCAUUUGGAGCCUCAGUACUGGACAGAACCCUAGAAGGAGGAGGCAUCAGAGGUUGAUCAUUUGGAGCUUCAUUACGCGGUACAGCCCCAGAAGACGAAGGCAAUAAAUGCCUUUGGAACAAACCCACAAAUCUCUGAUGAUCAAGUAAAACCUGACCAUCAGUUUCCUUCAUCUGGUCAAGCUUCCUCUUCAUGUUUGUAGCAUAGUCAUGUGCGAGCCGGUGCAACUGUUUAUUCUCAUGCUUGAGCCCUCUAAUCUCCUGUUUGAGACUCAUCACUUCAGCCGCCAAUGAUUCAACUUGGCGGGUUCGAGCAAAUAGGCGUUGGGCCAUAUUAGACACAGAACCUGCACACUGAACACUGAGAGAGCCAGCGAAUCCUUAACAGCUAACUCAUCAGACCGUUUGGAAAGUAGUCUGUUAUCUUUGGGAGUGAGAAGGUUCCUGGCCACCACCGCAGCGGUCAUAUCAUUCUUCAUCACGGAAUCCCCAACGGUAAGAGGACCAGUAGGGGAGACGAAGGAUGGGCGCCAUAUGUUGUCUGGAGAAGGCGGGGCUGCCUCUUCAACAAGGUUCAAGUCAAAACGACGGUCGGAGGGGCCAGACAUUUUCAAAGGUGUUGAAGAGAGAAGAGGUCGGACAAAUCAAGAUCUUAGAAGUGCAAGAAUGAAGCUUCUACUGGUGGAGAUUCAAGUGUGCUUUGGAACUUAAUGCCAGCCCCUAUAAAAAAAUCUGCACUCGACGGAGCUUCAGAAAUCGAAGAGGCGCCUGCUCAGAAAUCGAAGAGGCGUUUGCUUUCUCAAAAGCUGGGCUGCUUAGAGAUCACGAGGGUUGAUCUCAGAAAUCGAAGAGGCGUUUGCUUUCUCAAAAGUUGGGCUGCUCAAAGACCACGAAGGCCGAUCUCAGAAAUCGAAGAGGCGCUCGCUUUCUCAAAAGCUGGGCUCCCCAGAGACCACGAGGGCCGAUCUCAGAAAUCGAAGAGGCACCUACUUUUCCAGCCUUGUCAGCACCUGUCACACGCACACUCAGCUUUGCGGAAAUUAUGGGCAUUCUGUCGAAGACUUCUGGGGAAGUAGAAAACACAUGAAUCUUACUGUUCAAUCACCCACUUCCCACACGCAACAAUAGCUCAUGGGUACCACAGAUAACUUUGCCAAAGUUCUCUGCCAAAGUUGAGCACGUGAAGCUUGCAGCUCCCACUACAUCGCUCUGACCAAGAAGGGUAAAAGAAUAGCAAAGAAACAGCACUAACAAAGUUUAGACCCAUAAAUUUUGAAGGUCUAGCUACCAUAUUAUUACCCACAAGGGUAAAGGAACAGUACCACUGCUGGAUAAUUGGAAAGUCCCUGUGUGUCAACCUCUGUGCUUCGUGGCAAGGUAGACUAGCAAACAUGCCCAACCUUUACUCACAUUCGAGAAAACACACUCCCAAUAAGAUUGCUUGCUCCAAAAUCGAAGAGGCACCGUCCUCCGAAUCUCGAGAGCCAGACUCCCAACAUGACUACUUUCUUAAAAAUCGAAGAGAGGGUAAAGGAACAGUACCAUUGCUGGAUAAUUGGAAAGUCCCUGUGUGUCAACCUCUGUGCUUCGUGGCAAGGUAGACUAGCAAACAUGCCCAACCUUUACUCACAUUCGAGAAAACACUCCCAACAAGAUUGCUUGCUCCAAAAUCGAAGAGGCACCGCCCUCCGAAUCUCGAGAGCCAGACUCCCAACAUGAUUACUUUCUCAAAAAUCGAAGAGACACUGCUCCCCGAAUCUUCGAGAGCCAGACCCCCAGCAUGAUUGCUUUCUCAAAAAUCGAUGAGGCAUCGUUCUCCGAAUCAAUCGAAGAGGCGCUCGCUUUCUCAAAAGCUGGGCUGCUCAGAGACCACGAGGGCCGAUCUCAGAAAUCGAAGAGGCACCUACUUUUCUAGCCUUGUCAGCACCUGUCACACGCACACUCAGCUUUGCAGAAAUUAUGGGCAUUCUGUCGAAGACUUCUGGUGAAGUAGAAAGCACAUGAAUCUUACUGUUCAAUCACCCACUUCCCACACGCAACAAUAGCUCAUGGGUACCACAGAUAACUUUGCCAAAGUUCUCUGCCAAAGUUGAGCACGUGAAGCUUGCAGCUCCCACUACAUCGCUCUGACCAAGAAAGGUAAAAGAAUAGCAAAGAAACAGCACUAACAAAGUUUAGACACAUAAAUUUUGAAGGUCUAGCUACCAUAUUAUUACCCACAAGGGUAAAGGAACAGUACCACUGCUGGAUAAUUGGAAAGUCCCUGUGUGUCAACCUCUGUGCUUCGUGGCAAGGUAGACUAGCAAACAUGCCCAACCUUUACUCACAUUCGAGAAAACACUCCCAACAAGAUUGCUUGCUCCAAAAUCGAAGAGGCACCGUCCUCCGAAUCUCGAGAGCCAGACUCCCAACAUGACUACUUUCUCAAAAUCGAAGAGAGGGUAAAGGAACAGUACCAUUGCUGGAUAAUUGGAAAGUCCCUGUGUGUCAACCUUUGUGCUUCGUGGCAAGGUAGACUAGCAAACAUGCCCAACCUUUACUCACAUUCGAGACAACACUCCCAACAAGAUUGCUUGCUCCAAAAUCGAAGAGGCACCGCCCUCCGAAUCUCGAGAGCCAGACUCCCAACAUGAUUACUUCCUCAAAAAUCGAAGAGACACUGCUCUCCGAAUCUCGAGAGCCAGACCCCCAGCAUGAUUGCUUUCUCAAAAAUCGAAGAGGCAUCGUUCUCCGAAUCUCGAGAGCCAGAUACCACAGACCACUUUUUCAAAGUGCUCUGACAGAGUUAAAACAUGUGAAACUGGCAGCUCCCACUACCGUGCUAUGACCAAGCAGGGUAAAGGAAUAGCAUUACUACUUGUUGUUAGGGAGACUCCUAUAUAUGUCGACCUCCAUCCCCAACGGACAGGCAGACCUGCAAAAAUGCUCAACCCUUCAUCAUAUCUGAGAGGGCACUCCCAACGAAGCCUUUCGAAAUAUUCAGCUUUCUUUCCCCCCGAUAAUACCUCUGCAAACAAGCUAUACUAGAGCAAGAAUAUCUCUCAUAUCAUCAGGGUUAAAAGCAAGAGUAUCCCAUAUCAUGCUUUUUCCCUGUCUUUUCCUUUGGCCUUGUUUUUACCUGCAAGACAAGGAGAAAGAGAGCAAUCAGUCAGCACUUGGAAUCAAGCUUCCAGCCAGGAACUGACUGCCUGGAACCCCUUACCUGAUUACUUACCUGGCAUUGCUCUCGAGUACUCAUCUUCAACAUCUUAUGUUUCCAGGGAAGAUUCCGCAUCUGCUUGAGGAACAGAUAGGGCAAGUGCGAAGGAUACAAGGAAGCAUGUGGAGACAAGCGUAACAGCACACGUGCCGAUACAUCCAUUACUCUGUCAAAAGCAAAAGUAUCCCAUAUCAGCAGGGUGGAACGUACUCUAGAUUUGAUGGACUUGUUUUGACCCUCAAAUUCUUCAGUCGGCCUUAUACUCUGGAGGAAACCAGAAAACCCUCCAGCUCAGUUCAAGAAUAAGCCUGUGGAAAGUUACUUCUUCAAAAGCAAAAGUAUCUCAUAUCAUCUCUUCUCAUUUUUCUUCUCUUUAUCCUUCAUGCUGCUGCUGCAAGAUGGGGAGAAGGUGAACAAUCAGUCGGAGCUCUGAUUGCUUACCUUGUCUGUCACCUCUUUCAGCAGACCCCCUAGCUCGGCGACUUGGGGGACUCCUACUACAUGGUUUGUAUCGCGCUUGACCAAGCCUGAAACUACAAGUAAGCUUCAAGUGAAAUUGAUACAUUACCUUGUGCAUCUCCACCAGUUAAAGAUACCACCCCUGGAUGGAGGAAGAGUACUUCCAGAGAAGAUGCCACAUCUACCUAUGAGACAGAUAAGGCAAGUCAAGACGACACCACACUCCGAUACUUAGAAGUUUCGUGAUUACGAGAUCAUUCUCCCACAAUAUUUCCUAAUGUCAUUUGUACUAAAUCAUUCACUUGUACUCACUAAAGGAGAGCUUGAACCUAUGUACUUGUGUAAACCCUUCACAAUUAAUGAGAACUCUUCUAUUCCGUGGACGUAGCCAAUCUGGGUGAACCACGUACAUCUUGUGUUUGCUUUCCUAUCUCUAUCCAUUUAUAUACUUAUCCACACUAAUGACCGGAGCAAUCUAGCGAAGAUCACAAAAAGCGACCGUUUUCGCUACCUAGGAUCUAUCUUGCAAGAGAACGGAGAAUUAGAUGGAGAUCUCAACCAUAGAAUACGAGCUGGAUGGAUGAAGUGUAAGAGUGCAUCCGGCGUGUUGUGUGUGACCGUCGUAGGCCACUGAAGCUCAAGGGAAAAUUUUAUAGGACGGCAAUAAGGCCAGCGAUGUUGUAUGGCACAGAAUGUUGGGCGGUGAAGCAUCAACACGUACACAAAAUGGGUGUAGCGGAGAUGAGGAUGCUUCGUGGGAUGUGUGGGCACACGAGAAAGGAUAAGAUUGGGAAUGAGGAUAUCCGAGGUAAAGUAGGAGUAGCCGAAAUUGUAGGAAAGAUGAGAGAAAAAAUCGGCUUCCGGUGAUUUGGACAUGUGCAAAGAAGGCCGACUGACGCUCUGGUUCGAAGAUGUGACUACGGGACAGAGGUUCAGGGUCGAAGGGGUAGAGGAAGACCUAGGAAAACUUUGGAAGAGACUCUAAGAAAAGACUUAGAGUACUUGGAUCUAACGGAGGACAUGACACAAAACCGAGCGCAAUGGCGUUCUAGGAUUCAUAUAGCCGACCCCACUUAGUGGGAAAAUGCUUUGUUGUUGUUGUUGUUGUUGUUGUUGUUAUUCAAAAAUCUCCACGGUUCAAACUGUUGCAGAAACCCAAAAUAAUUGAAUUAUUAUAUCUUGAUAAAUUAAACCUAUAUCUAUAAUAUUUAUUACUAUCUCCUUCAAUGACAAAAAGAAGGAGAAAGUUGAUUCUUUGUCAAAGUUUUUGAAAGAAGGUAUUUUUUUUCUAUAAUUUAUAGGAAUACUUUGGAUAUAUUAAAGUUAAACCCUUGAACAUUGAGGAAAAGAUCACAUAAAUCAAAGACCACCCCAUCAAUGGAAGCCACAUAUAAAGUGAUAUACAGUCUUUGUGCUUUCUAUGAUGAAAACAAUACUGUUGGUCAAAUCUUUUACUAUUGUGAAAAUGUUCACUUAACUUUAGCAAAAUUUAAGAAAUGAUCUUUCAAUUAAAAAUCUGUGAGUAUUGAUCUCUUAACUCAUUAAAAUGUGUCGUUAUAAUUAUUUUCGUUUUGGUCUCCCAACUUUAACCCAAUUAGAAAAAUGGUUCUUCAACUUUAACUCAAUUAAAGCAAUGGUCCCUCAAUUUUAACCCAAUUGUAGAAAUGGUCCUUCCAACAUGACUCAAUUUAAUGAAAUUCUAAAGGAGUUGACGAAAAAGACUAUAACUGCAUGUUUUGUUGAGUUAAGAGACCAAUGAUUAUGAAUUUUUAGUUCAGAAACCAUUACUCUAAUAUGAUUAAAAUUAAAGAACCGUUAUUAUAAUGUUCUCCUUACUUAAAUUUAGUGUUAGAUUCUCAAAUGUAUCUCAUACCACAAAAGCAUAAAAAAAAAAAAAAUUGGUGGAAUCGAAAAUGUGCUUACUUCUAAGUUCCCAAACAAGGAAUUUAUAUAAUCUAAACGAACGUGACCAACACCAUCAAAUCAAAGUCACAUUAACAAAAUGCAAUUCUAUAGAUUUUAUAUUGAUCAUACAUAGUGUGUACCAAAUGGAGGGUCCUAAAUUAGCCAUUUGUGACCAGCUGUGAUCUUUUGACUGUGACUAAAAAUUGAAAGGAAAAGUUAAAUAAACUCCACAUAAAGUUUCCACACACGUAACACAGAAAGUCUUCUGUUAGAUCUAAAUACUCCAAGUCAUUUCUUUUAGAAUCUCUUUUCAAGUCUUCGUAAGUUUUCCUCUACCCUUUUGGCCCUGAGCCUUAGUCUCGUAAUCGCAUAUUUUAACCGGAAUGUUUGUCGGUCUUCAUUUCACAUUCAAACCACCUUAAUCGAUUUUCUCUCAUGUUAUCUUCAAUAUCGGCUACUCCUACUUUACCUCGGAUAUCCUCGUUUCUAAUCUUAUCCUUUCUUGUGUGCCCACACAUUCAAUGAAGCAUUUUUAUCUCCUCUGCAUUCAUUUUGUGUACGUAUUGAUGCUUGACCGUCCAACAUUCCAUGCCAUAAAACAUUACUGGCCUUAUUGCUGUCCUAUAAAAUUUUCCCUUAAGCUUUAGUGGCAUACAACGGCUACACAACACACUCGAUGCACUCUUUCACUUCAUCCAUCCAGCUUGUAUUCUAUGGCUUAAGUCUUUCAUCCAAUUCGAUAGCAAAACCGUUUGUAUCCAUUUUCUUGCCUCUACCCUUCUCCGUGGUUGACCUUAACCGUUUGGAUUAAAAUGCGAUCAAAAUAUCUUGAUUCUUGAUGAGCAUUUCUAUCAUAACACUCUCUGUUCAAGGUUAAUGUUAUUGACUAUGUUUAGCUAUGAUUUUCCUUCAGAAAAAGUGAGAAUCAAUCCAAUGAAGCAGGGAUAUCAGGGGAAGGUAUCCAAGAUCCCUGUGUUGUGGUGCAAAGUUCAGUUGAAUCUGAUAUGACGGGUGAUGGCUUCCGCUGGAGGAAGUACGGGCAGAAGGUUGUUAAGGGGAAUCCAUAUCCCAGGUCAGAAAGAAUGAAAAACUCUUCUUCCUUCUUUUUUUAGUAAAUGUAUCCACACCUCUUAGAGCAAUUGACUAAUAUUCCUCUUGCAUAUGCGCUCACCUGUCUCAUAUGUCUACCUCAAGCUCUUGGUCUUGUGAUUUUUUUCGUGUUGUCGGAUGUGGUUUCAAAUCUGAAUCCCCCAUUUUUGUUGAUUAAAAAAAAUUGGUAGCGAAUAAUCCUGUAUUCCUAACUCAAGACAUUACUUUUUAGAAUGAGGUCCUAAUCAAAUAUAUAACCAACCUCUAUGGAUUGUGUUAAGAUUCAGUUGAUUACGUUGUUCAUCAACUGCUGUUUGCAUUCAUGACAUCUGCAAUGGGACACAAGGUUCUUUGUGGCUAGCUGGUGCUUACUCCAUAACUUUUUCGAUCUUGCAGAAGUUACUACAGAUGUACCAGUCUCAAAUGCAAUGUGCGUAAGCAUGUCGAAAGAGUAUCGGAUGAUCCCAAAGCUUUCAUCACAACGUACGAGGGAAAGCACAACCACGACAUACCACUGAGGAACGCACACACAGGAGCAUCCGAUAAGGAUACAACUAAACAAAAGCCAUGAAUGAGUGAUAACAUCGAACUCAAACUUCGGCAUCAAACUGUUUCAACCUCAUGUUUUGUCUGACAGAAAUGUCAGACGGGCUCGGAGAUAAAAAUCAGACACCGAAAAUAAUUUGCUGCAGUGAUUCUGAUUCCCACCUUGGAUGGUCUGCUCUGCAAUGCUAAUAAUUUCACUUGGGAAUCUCUUUGAUGGCUGCUUGAUGGAUUAGGAGACAUAAUACUUUGUUAGAAAUGUUAAUGGCAGUGAUUAGGUUGAUGACUUGAUAAUACUCCUCCCAAUAAGCACAAGGAUGAUAGAGAAUAAAGUUUAAGGAUCAUUCAAUUCCCAGUGGGUAAUACUUGUGUGUUAUAUUUGUUAUUAGAUUAUGUUGUAAACCAUAGCUUUGAAAAUU